CCUACGGGUGGCAGCAGUAGGGAAUAUUGCUCAAUGGGGGAAACCCUGAAGCAGCAACGCCGCGUGGAGGAUGAAGGUUUUCGGAUUUUAAACUCCUUUUGUUAGAGAAGAUAAUGACGGUAUCUAACGAAUAAGCACCGGCUGACUCCGUGCCAGCAGCCGCGGUAAUACGGAGGUUGCAAGCGUUACUCGGAAUCACUGGGCGUAAAGAGCGCGUAGGCGGGAUAGCAAGUCAGAUGUGAAAUCCUAUGGCUUAACCAUAGAACUGCAUUUGAAACUGUUAUUCUAGAGUAUGGGAGAGGUAGGUGGAAUGCGUGGUGUAGGGGUAAAAUCCGUAGAGAUCAAGAGGAAUACUCAUUGCGAAGGCGACCUACUAGAACAUAACUGACGCUGAGGCGCGAAAGCGUGGGGAGCAAACAGGAUUAGAUACCCGGGUAGUC
rnacentral:rRNA from 1 species